UCGAAGGACGAACGCUGGCGGCGUGCCUAAUACAUGCAAGUUGAACGCUUGAUUUCACCGAAGCUUGCUUACACCGAAAAUCAAGAGUAGCGAACGGGUGAGUAACGCGUGGGUAACCUACCUAUCAGCGGGGGAUAACUAUUGGAAACGAUAGCUAAUACCGCAUAACAAUGUUGGAUGCAUAUUCGACAUUUGAAAGUACCAACUGGUACACUGAGAGAUGGACCCGCGUUGUAUUAGCUAGUUGGUAGUGUAAUGGACUACCAAGGCGAUGAUACAUAGCCGACCUGAGAGGGUGAUCGGCCACAUUGGGACUGAGACACGGCCCAAACUCCUACGGGAGGCAGCAGUAGGGAAUCUUCGGCAAUGGACGAAAGUCUGACCGAGCAACGCCGCGUGAGUGAAGAAGGUUUUCGGAUCGUAAAACUCUGUUGUUGGAGAAGAACGUUGCAUAGAGUGGAAAAUUAUGCAAGUGACGGUAUCUAACCAGAAAGGGACGGCUAACUACGUG
rnacentral:rRNA from 1 species